CCAGACUCCUACGGGAGGCAGCAGUGAGGAAUAUUGGUCAAUGGCCGGAAGGCUGAACCAGCCAAGCCGCGUGAAGGACGAAGGUGCCAAGCAUUGUAAACUUCUUUUGUCAAGGGACAAAAUCAGGCUCGAGAGCCUGACCGAGGGUACUUGAAGAAAAAGCAUCGGCUAACUCCGUGCCAGCAGCCGCGGUAAUACGGAGGAUGCGAGCGUUAUCCGGAUUUAUUGGGUUUAAAGGGUGCGUAGGCGGAUUGUAAAGCCAGCGGUAAAAGCCCGGGCCUCAACCCGGGCGAGCCGUUGAAACUGGCUGUCUUGAGAUGUCGAGAGGUAUGCGGAAUGCGCAGUGUAGCGGUGAAAUGCCUAGAUAUUGCGCAGAACUCCGAUUGCGAAGGCAGCAUACCGGCGCUCAACUGACGCUCAUGCACGAAAGCGUGGGUAUCGAACAGGAUUAGAUACCCGCGUAU
rnacentral:rRNA from 1 species